AGCAACUAAUAGCAGCUAAAGAUUCCACUCAAAGGAAGUACAACCAGCUGAAAGAAGACUAUGAUAUAAUGAGUUGCAGUUUGAAGAAUUUCGACAGAUCCGAGUGAAAACAACUUCAACUGCAUCUCAAUCCUCCUACGACUGUGCCUCCGUUUUAUCUCAGACCUGUGAUGAGAUUUCGUCUGCUGUUGCAUCAACAAGUUCUCAAACGAUGAGUGACAAUCCAUCCUCCAGUUCUCAGACUGUUAAUGAGUCCUCAUCGAUGUCCUCGCAAACCACUAUCCAGAGUGUUGGUGCCUCGUCUCAAACAGUCAACGACAAUCCUUCCGCUUCAUCCCAAACAAGUGGCGUUUCUAGUUCCUAUGCGGCCUCACAAACAACAUUUGCUGAGGUGUCAAAUGUUGAUGGUACUAGGAGGCACACUGAUUCAGAAUCGAGUGAAGAGGAGUGCAGUUUCCAGGAUCUGAAAAAUGUUUUGGACUCAGUUCCAUUUAAGAUUCCUGAGCAAUUUGUCAACAAAACUCCAGAUGAUGGAUCAAAAAUAAUUCAGGAUAUUAAAGCUCUGACUUCCAUGUGUCUUAAUCUGCAAGAAAAUGAGAAAAAAUUAGCUGCUGAAUUGAUGGAAAAAUCAGAAGAAGUGUUUUUAUUGAGAGCAAAAGUGGAAGAGGCUACAAAAAAGAUGACUUUGGUUGAAGAAGAACUGGCUGACUUCGAGCAGAAAGAAACUGAUUGGCAAGAGACGGAACAAAAACAGAAAGAGGAGAUUGCAAAACUUGUGGAGGCUCAUGCUACAUCAGUGAAAGCAGAACAAGACUUAAAUACUGAAUUGACCAGAAACAAGAGUAAAAUUGAAGAGCUUGAAACUCAGAAGGCUGCAUUAGAGGCAAAUUUGGAACAACUACAAAGUGUUGCCCAGUCAAAUAAUAGUCAUGAAGAAUUAAGAUCAGAGCUUAUGAGCAAAAUAGCUGAUCAAGACAAUCAGAUAUCAGCUUUAACGGAAGCCAGGACAGACCUUGAAUCAGAAGUGCGGCUUUUGAAUGACCAUGUCAAAGACUUAACUUACCGGUUACAAAUGUCGGAAGCUACAACUCUAAAUCAAAUAACCUAG
rnacentral:lncRNA from 1 species